UCUAUUCCAUCUAUCUCCAGCACUUUCUCCCCUCAGCUACUUCGUUUCCCGACUGGACACUCGGCCUGUCACCCACGUCCCUGCUGUUUAUGUAACCGGCAAAUACCAGCGACCCAUCGGCUCCAGAAGCUGUUGUGGACUCUUAGCACCUCAGAGGAGCAGACCUCUGAACUGCAGAUAUUUUAGGACAAGGACUAUAUCUUUUAUGUGUUGCCAGAGUACAAACAGCUCCACGUGAUAGUAUAGAAAUACUACAAACCACAACAUCAUAAUCUGCCCAAGUUGAUUACGAUAACCAGCCGCCUAAAGACGAGCGAAUUUGGCCUUAAGGCUAUUCCGCUGCCUCUGGAGACGGGUUGUCUGGA